rnacentral:misc_RNA from 1 species
GAUGAAGAACGUAGCGAAAUGCGAUAAGUAAUGCGAAUUGCAGAAUUUCCGUGAAUCAUCGAAUCUUUGAACGCACAUUGCGCCCGCCAGUAUUCUGGCGGGCAUGCCUGUUCGAGCGUCAUUACAACCCUCAGGCCCCCGGGCCUGGCGUUGGGGAUCGGCGGAAGCCCCCUGUGGGCACACGCCGUCCCUCAAAUACAGUGGCGGUCCCGCCGCAGCUUCCAUUGCGUAGUAGCUAACACCUCGCAACUGGAGAGCGGCGCGGCCAUGCCGUAAAACACCCAACUUCUGAAUGUUGACCUCGAAUCAGGUAGGAAUACCCGCUGAACUUAAGCAUAUCAAUAAGCGGAGGA